GAUGAACGCUGGCGGCAUGCCUUACACAUGCAAGUCGAACGGCAGCACGGGAGCUUGCUCCUGGUGGCGAGUGGCGAACGGGUGAGUAAUACAUCGGAACGUACCCUGAAGUGGGGGAUAACGUAGCGAAAGUUACGCUAAUACCGCAUAUUCUGUGAGCAGGAAAGAGGGGGAUCGCAAGACCUCUUGCUUUAGGAGCGGCCGAUGUCGGAUUAGCUAGUUGGUGAGGUAAAAGGCUCACCAAGGCGACGAUCCGUAGCGGGUCUGAGAGGAUGAUCCGCCACACUGGGACUGAGACACGGCCCAGACUCCUACGGGAGGCAGCAGUGGGGAAUUUUGGACAAUGGGCGCAAGCCUGAUCCAGCCAUGCCGCGUGAGUGAAGAAGGCCUCGGUGUAAG
rnacentral:rRNA from 1 species